UGACGUGGAACAGAGAGGGAAUUACCUCAAUCUCAGGUGUGAGGCUCAACAUGGCACCUCAUGUUACUUUUAUCUGAACCUUGGUGACGUACACUUCAAAAAGCAACCAUACAAAGACAAUGUUUGUGUGGGGAGAGUGGCCCAAUCGGAGCUACAGACGCCGAGGAAGAAGAGCAGCCCUGAAGAGAUUUUCAUCACAUGUGCUGUGGAGAUGGUGAUAAAGGGGAAUUCGGUGACAUCACAGCACAGUGAACCCCUCCGUAUCACCGUAGAUGCUGCAAAUCCUACAGGAGCCACAGGUUCCAUAGCAGACUUCAGUUCCAUCCCACCUGGAGAGGAGAAGGCAGUCAGUGAAGUCAUCAGCCUAACUACCCAAGAAGAAGACCCUUCCUCAAUGAUCCCCCUCUACAUCGGUCUCCAUGCCGGUAUCUAUGUUCUCAUCCUUCUGGUGGAAUCUCUCCUGUGUUUUCUCCGUUGUAGACACGGCAAGUGCCUUUUGCUUCAAAAAUACUCCAAUUUGUAUGUUGUUCCAAAGGCUGUUGUCAGCUAUACAAUCAGGGCCUGUUAGUUACGCUCU